UUCGAAGGCAGAGGACGGAGGAUUGAGGGUCUCUAUGGAGUUUUCAGGCACAGCAGAGGAGCCAUUGACCUUAGAGCGAGAGUUGGAUGGUGGGGACGAAGAUUGGGGCGGAGACGACGAAGACGGAGAACCUUGCCUGGGCCCUUUCUUCUUUUUCCCUUUCCCCAUCGGAGGAGGAGAGUCUUGAAACCGGCGUCGGAUUAGACGGCGGCGUGUCGCGGCUAAGAAUGUCACUUUGACGGUGGUUGUUGUAG
rnacentral:lncRNA from 1 species